GUGUUUUUAGUAUAAUAGAGUACACUUACCUUCCAAGUAAAAAGAUUAAAUAAUUAAAAAACAUA
rnacentral:tRNA from 1 species